ACUCGUUCUUCGGUUUCAACUUCGACCAUCCGUUGCAAUAGCCAUCUCUGAACCUGGAGAAUCAUCAGAGCACCCACAUUCGAAUUCUAUUUUCAGGGGCUUGCAGGUUUUAUUAACUGAUGAUGAUGAUGUAAACAGGGCUGUGACGCGGAGACUGCUUGAGAAGCUAGGCUGCAUUGUAACUUCUGUUUCAUCUGGAUUAGAAUGCCUUUCUACUAUUGGUCCCGCUGGAACCUCUAUCCAAAUUGUUUUUCUGGAUCUUCACAUGCCUGAGUUGGAUGGUUUUGAAGUUGCAUUGAGAAUUAGAAAAUUUCGAAGCCGAACGUGGCCAUUGAUUAUUGGCAUAACCGCUAGUGCUGAUGAAGAUGUGUGGGAUCGAUGUA
rnacentral:lncRNA from 1 species